ACGAACGCUGGCGGCGUGCUUAACACCUGCAAGUCGAACGGAAAGGCCCUGCUUUUGUGGGGUGCUCGAGUGGCGAACGGGUGAGUAACACGUGAGUAACCUGCCCUUGACUUUGGGAUAACUUCAGGAAACUGGGGCUAAUACCGGAUAGGAGCUCCUGCUGCAUGGUGGGGGUUGGAAAGUUUCGGCGGUUGGGGAUGGACUCGCGGCUUAUCAGCUUGUUGGUGGGGUAGUGGCUUACCAAGGCUUUGACGGGUAGCCGGCCUGAGAGGGCGACCGGCCACAUUGGGACUGAGAUACGGCCCAGACUCCUACGGGAGGCAGCAGUGGGGAAUAUUGCACAAUGGGCGGAAGCCUGAUGCAGCAACGCCGCGUGCGGGAUGACGGCCUUCGGGUUGUAAACCGCUUUCGCCUGUGACGAAGCGUGAGUGACGGUAAUGGGUAAAGAAGCACCGGCUAACUACGUG
rnacentral:rRNA from 1 species